UUCAUUGGUUUGUAGCAGAUGUAUUAAUAGCCCAGCCCCUAUUCCUUACCUGUAGCUGCUGGGAAGAAAACCAUUCUUAACACUCUACAAGGUCUCAUCUCCAGAAUUUGCACCUGUUUCUAGCUGAGGACUUUCUCUAGCAGCACGGGAGCUUGUGACUGGACAUGAAGUGGGAAGAAAAGGUGAGGGUAUCUAAGAAGAAUCUCCCUGGAUUCAGUGAUGUAAUUCUGAGGCAUGCUCCACAUAGCUUCCCAUAAAAUUAAGCCCAGAUAUCUAACACAGGAACUUACCUCUUAACACGUGUGGUAUUGGCUUGUCUCUCUUUCCUGUUUUAUUUUGUUCUCUUUUCCUUGUCUCACUUUCACUGUGUCCUCACUCCUGCUUUAAGAAUACCCAAACAAAUACGUUCAUUUAUUUUUUUAGACUCUCAGAACACAGUUGAUAGUUGAACUUCUAAUCUAUGAUAAUCAGCUUGGAUGCAAUACUGACAGGAAGAUGGUGAACUCACAAUGUCCAAUUAAGCUGUCCUGAGAGCAUGUCUCUACAUCUCUACCUGCAUUCUGGAAUCAGGGAGAAAGCCAAAACAGACAGACACUAGAUCAGCCGUGUCAACCCUUUGACUACAAGGACUUUUCCGCCUAUCUGUGGUGGGGUUCCUGGCAAGUCAGUUCUUCCUCAGGCCUUCGGUUUCCUCACCUACAAGAUGAGAGGGCUGGACCAGAUGGAAAUUCAGGGUGGAAGGGGAUGUCCGCGCACAGCCCACCACCCCCCCCCACAGGACCCUGGAUCCUUCAUCCCAGUUCCCACCACGCACCCGCCCCACAAAUCGCGCUCAAGAGUGAAUGUUGUUAACUUACUGAAGACCUGACGAAACAUGGGAAAGAUGGCAAUGUCUGACAAGAGGAACAGACGUGAAAUAAAAUCCAACAUUCUGUGUAAUUCUUAUUGUCUCUUAACCCUACUUGUUGAAUUACGAAAACUUCAUAUACAAAAAUUUGAGCAUUAUACUCUUUAGCUGUACAUUAUCAUUUCAAAACAAACUUAUACAUGGCUCUCACUAUUACAAUAGUCUUCCCACUGUAAAAACUUUUAAGCUGUAACUUUCUGCCAUUACUACGUUACCUUCGUAUUAGUUUAUGCCAUACUUCUUUCUGAGUUUCUGUCAAUAUUCAUCUGAGGUAUUUUUGUGUAAAAAUUAGAUAGUAACAGGAAAAUAGAUAACUGCUUCCAAUAUGUAGAAGUCAUUACUACAGCUUUGCCUAUUAACACAUACACACUAUUUCUUCAUGUCCCAGAUGUUCAGGUAUAUGGGAAUGAAACAAUGAGUUGGAACCUCUUGAUUCAGUUAUUCUGGUGACAAACAAUGUGUAUAGCUCAUUGACGAUUGUUUAACCCUUGACAAAAUGUGGCUGCAAUUGUUACUUGCAGAUGUAGCCACACUUAAUUUCUUUUCUCCACUCCCCACUGCAUUGUAUUUGUUAUUCUUGAUAUCAGAAAUGUGUUAAGAAAUAUGCCACUAACUGGGUGUGCUCCCUAUACAAUUAGCUACAGAAAGAGGUGAUAACUCAUAUUAUUUACAAAGAUUACAAGUAUAAAGAACCUUAAAAUAAUCAUUUUCUAUAAUUUGUUAUCAAUUGUUAAGUUUAUUUUAACAAUUAUCAAUUAGCUACAGAACACGAGUAGUGUUUCUUACUUUAGCCUGAUGUAAACAUGUGAUGCGGUAAUAUAGUGAAGAAUAUUACUCACUUCAGGGGAUAGGGCUUUGGUCAAGAAUUUUGAGAAACUCUUGAAAAAGGAAAAGAAAACCCCCCGUGAUAGUAAUACAAUUCCAAAAGCAAAAGGAGAAAAAAUGUAAAUAUAUUAAAUCAAAAAAUAUUUUAAGGUAAGGCAAAAGUAGGUAUAGAAUGGUGAGUCACAUACAAAUUGUGAAAGUGAGUAAUGGCCCAGAAAUCAAAGGAGAGGGAAAAAUAUGGUAGGUGAAUAUGGUUGCAAUGCUAAUUAAAAAAAUGUUAUUAGCAGCUAGCUCAAUUCAAGCUUUGAAUAAAUAGAAAGAGUGUUUAUAACAGUACGCUUAAUCUACUGGUGCUAAUAUUAAGAUAAUUGUUGAAAUAUACUUAAAAGAAGUUAGUGAAAGCAGAGAAUGAAAGACUAUUGAACUUUUCUGGUUUAUUGUGUAAAAAUUUGCCUGUAUCCAACAUACAGGCACAAAAAUAAAAUACUGGAAAUAGAGAGCAAAUCUUGGCCAUUCAAAUGAGAGUCAGUUAUUAAUUCUUUGGACAUAGGCUGUACUCCUACAAGCAAACUACGGCUAAAAUAUGCGAUUCAAUACAGAUACUCAUUUUUCAAGUGUUUACAACCUGUUUGAGUCCAUUUGGACUGCUGUAACAAAUUACCUUAGACUGGGUAAUUUAUAAACCAAAUUUAUUAUUCUCAGUUCUGGGGGUUGGGAAGUCCAAGAUCUAGGUGCCAGCAGAGUUGUUACCUGGUGAGGUUUGUUUCUCAAACUUACUGCUGCAUCUUCACAUGGCAUAAGGGCAAAAGGGACAAAGUAGCUCCCUAUGGGUUCUUUUAUAAGGG
rnacentral:lncRNA from 1 species